rnacentral:rRNA from 1 species
AGGACGAACGCUGGCGGCGUGCUUAACACAUGCAAGUCGAGCGGUAAGGCCUUUCGGGGUACACGAGCGGCGAACGGGUGAGUAACACGUGGGUGAUCUGCCCUGCACUUCGGGAUAAGCCUGGGAAACUGGGUCUAAUACCGGAUAUGACCUCCUAUCGCAUGGUGGGUGGUGGAAAGAUUUAUCGGUGCAGGAUGGGCCCGCGGCCUAUCAGCUUGUUGGUGGGAAUGGCCUACAAGGCGACGACGGGUAGCCGACCUGAGGGGUGACCGGCCACGACGUGGACUGAGACACCGGCCAGACUCCUACGGGAGCAGCAGUGGGAAUAGUGCACAAGUGGGACGAAAGCCUGAUGAGAGCGACGUCCGCGUGGAGGAU